UACAGAGGGGGCAAGCGUUAUUCGGAAUUAUUGGGCGUAAAGGGCGCGUAGGCGGCCUGGCAAGUGGAAGGUGAAAUCCCUCGGCUUAACCGAGGAACUGCCCUCCAAACUGCUUGGCUUGAGUCCGGGAGAGGUGAGUGGAAUUCCCAGUGUAGCGGUGAAAUGCGUAGAUAUUGGGAAGAACACCCGUGGCGAAGGCGGCUCUCUGGGACGGUACUGACGCUGAGACGCGAAAGCGUGGGGAGCGAACAGG
rnacentral:rRNA from 1 species